ACCUCCAUUGCUUGCUGUUUGGGGUUUUAGGCUGGGUUUAUGUACAGCACUUUGAGAUAUCAGCUGAUGUAAGAAGGGCUAUAUAAAUACAUUUGAUUUGAUUUUGAUUUGGUAUAGCCGAUGGAAUAGACAAUGGUAUAGCCGAUGGUAUGGAUGGAAUAGUUGAUGGCAUAGCCGAUUGUAUAGCCAGCCGAUGGUAUAGCAGAUUGUAUAGAUGGUAUACCCAAUGGUAUAGUCGAUGGUGUAGAUGGUAUAGCUGAUGGUGUUGCUGAUGGUGUUGCUGAUGGUAUGAAUUGUGUAGCUGAUGGUAUUGACGGUAUAUUGGCGAUGGUACAGAUGGUAUAGCCGAUGGUAUAGCCAAUGGUAUAGCUAUUGGUAUAGAUGGUAUAGCUGGUGGUAUAGCUGAUGGUAUAGAUGGUAUUGUCGAUGGUAUAGAUGGUAUAGCUGAUGGUAUAGAUAGUAUUGUCGAUGGUAUAGCUGAUGGUAUAGCUGAUGGUAUAGAUGGUGUUGUCAAUGGUAUAGCUUGUGUAGCAGAUGGUAUAGACGGUAUAGUCGAUGGCACAGAUGGUAUAGCUGAUGGUAUAGCUGGCAUACCUGAUGGUAUAGAUGGAAGAGCCAAUGGUAUAGAUGGUAAAGCUGAUGGUACAGAUAAUAUAGCUGAUGGUAUAGAUGGAAAAGACAAUAGAUGGAAAAGCCAAUGGUAUAGCUAAUGGUACAGAUGGUAUAGUCAAUGGUAUAGUUGAUGUCAUAGAUGGUAUAGCCGAUGGUAUAGCUGAUGGUAUAGCCGAUGGUAUAGCUGAUGGUAUAGAUGGUGUAGUCGAUGUAUAGCCAAUGGCAUAGAUGGUAAAGUGGACGGUAUAGAUGGCAUAGCCAAUGGUAUAGAUGGUAUAGUCAAUGGUAUAGAUGACAUAGCCAAUGGUAUAGAUGGUAUAGUCGACGGUAUAGAUGGCAUAACAAUGGUAUAGCUGAUGGUAGAGCCAAUAGCAUAGCCGACGGUAUAGAUGGUAUAGACAGUGAAGCCGAUUGUAUAUCAGAUGAUAGAGUUGAUAGUAUAGCCGAUUGCAUAGAUGGUAUAGCCGAUGGUAUAGCCGAUGGUCUGGAC
rnacentral:lncRNA from 1 species